CAUUAGUGAAUUUUAGGGACUCCACUCUGUGGAUCCCGACCCUCACCAUAAUCCACAUACACUUGUGCACUGUUGGUCAGGUGUGAGCUGAGCCCUUUACCGGGCGACGCUUGUUUUAUCACCUGCCAACGCCCUUAUAACAAACUCUGAGAACUAUGAAUGUGAAUUUAACUUGCCAAUUUUUGGCGAAAUUAAAUACAACUUUCGACAACGGAUCUCUUGGUUCUCCCAUCGAUGAAGAACGCAGCGAAUUGCGAUAAGUAAUGUGAAUUGCAGAAUUCAGUGAAUCAUCGAAUCUUUGAACGCACCUUGCGCUCCCUGGUAUUCCUAGGAGCAUGCCUGUUUGAGUGUCAUGAAUUCCUCAAAUCCCAAUGUUUUGCAAAAUUCAUUGCUUGGAUUUGGUUGUGGGCCUAUAUUGCUGCCUCACCGCAGCUGGCCUUAAAGAUAUUAGCUGGACUCUCCGAGACUCUUGGAUAGUUCCACUUGAUGUGAUAAAUUUGCAUCGGUGGGUCAAGAUUAUGCUUGGGAAGUGUGAGAAGUCUGCUUCUAAUCCGGCGAGAGGUUCCAUCCUCGACCCAAUUCAUUUACAACUCUGGCCUCAAAUCAGGUAGGACUACCCGCUGAACUUAAGCAUAUCAAUAAGCGGAGGAAAAGAAACUAACAAGGAUUCCCCUAGUAACGGCGAGUGAAGCGGGAAGAGCUCAAAUUUGAAAGCUGGCACCUUCGGUGUCCGCGUUGUAAUCUCGAGAAGUGUUUUCCGUGCUGGACCAUGUACAAGUUCCUUGGAAUAGGACGUCAUAGAGGGUGAAAAUCCCGUACUUGACAUGGACGCCCAGUGCUUUGUGAUACA
rnacentral:rRNA from 1 species